GGGAUGGGAACUGGGUGAGCUGCUCCUGUGGGUGAGGGUCUCUGACCUGCAGAGUCUGCACUGUGGGGGCCCAGAACGAAUGGAGUCAGGAAUGCUGCCCACAUAGAUGAGGUGAAAGGCUGAAGUCAUAGACCUGAACAGAAGCCUGUGGGUAACCAGCAGUCUGAUACCUCUAACCUUGGACCUCACUGUCCACGAUGACGCAGUGGGUGCCUAUGCCUUCUGCAGAAGUCUUCGCUACUCAUUCAUUCUUAUCAAUGUUUUAACACACACAAUUAGCUUUUCACUCACACCAGUCCCAGUGACUGUGCAAAGCAAAUGUCCUCAGGGAUCCAUGAGGGCCCUGUGUCUGAAACACAGCCUCCUUGAUCAACGAGGCUGAAGAAGAGAAGGAAAACCAUGCCUGGGCUAUUCCGUGCUUCAUACUGGAACACCCCUCCUUAGAGCAUAGAGCUCUGCCACCCUCCAGGGGCUUGAAGAGUGCAGCCUUCCUGUUGCCAGAAAGGGGAUGAAAACUGGUCAUGAGUAGACACUAGUAAAGUCUACCAGGCUGUGCAUCCCAGAGGCAAGAGGAAACAGUCUCAGCUGCUCUGACUCCAUAUUUAUCAAGCACGUUUUGACUCACACUUGGAAUCGCAUGCCAUGAAUUCCUGGCCUCCUGACUAGUCCAGGGACCAGCCAGCGGACAGUUAACUCAAGCCAGCAGGUAGCAUCAGCUGAAAUUUUGACACUGAAUGAUACACUGAGCAGUGCUAUUCUCAGGAUAUGAGUGAUUUAGUGUAUUAUCUAAAAUUUAAAUGUUUUAAUAUACCUCCCAAAAAGUUACCUGGCUCAGAAAACUGCAGAGGAACCGCAGGGAUCUGGGAGGCCACUUGCAGGGAACCAACCUUCCACUACCAGAUUCCAAAGGAAUCACAGAAAAAAAGAAAAAAGAAAGAAAAGCUAGAGGAGAAAGGCAUUUAAAUUGUGUUUGGAACACAAGUUCAUAAUUUUAUCUGGAAGUCACCUCAGACAUCAGUGAGUAGGAGGGGCUAACUAUCCAUUUGCAAGUGAUGAAGAAAC
ensembl:lncRNA